AAAAUUCAGUUUUUUUCUUUAUCCCGAAAGAAAAAGAUCUAUCAUAUCCAUUUGGUUUAGCUUUCGCUUUUUAAUGUAGCAUAAUUACUUCUAUAGGGUAUGAUAGGGAUGAAAUAUCCUCAAUUUUUCUGAUAUCUGGAAAAAACCUAAAUGAAUUAAGUUCAUAAUAUAUUCAAAAAGUUAUAAGAUUUUUUGGUGGUAGAAUAUUGGUGAUUGAUUUAUAUAGGAAUAAUUUCCUUUUUACUUUGUUUAAACUAAAAUUUAUAUUCUAAAAAUCUAUUUAAUAGGUCUUCAUAGCUUGUAAUUUAAUUUUCUGUUAUAGAUAAUGUUUAAAUAAGUAUAUUUUUUUAAAGUAGUUAAAAGAACUCGGCAAAUAGACCUUUCAACUGUUUAACAAAAACAUAGUUUAAGGAAUCUAUAUCUUAAAUUAAGUCUGCCCAGUGAAAUUUUUAAACGGCCGCAGUACACUGACUGUGCUAAGGUAGCAUAAUAAAUUGGCUUUUAAUUGGAGUCUUGAAUGAAUGGAUUUUGGGAAGGUAACUGUUUUUAAUUGUCAAAUUAUAAUUUACUUAGGAGGUGAAAAUUCCUCUAUACAUACAUGUAAGACGAGAAGACCCUUAGAAUUAUUUACUAAUAACUUUUUAUUUUUUGGUUUUUGUUGGGGCAACAAGUUCAAACUUAAACUGAGCUUAUACUAUUUUUACAUAUAGUAACUAUUUAAAAAAAGAAUUUAAUUACCUUAGGGAUAACAGCAUUAUUAAUUUUUUAGUUUGUGACCUCGAUGUUGGACUAAGGAUUAUAAUAAAUAGCCUUUAUUAUAAAUAGUUCUGUUCGAACUUUCUUCCUUA
rnacentral:rRNA from 1 species